rnacentral:rRNA from 1 species
GGUCAAGCUACAAAGGGCACAUGGUGAAUGCCUUGGCAUCAGGAGCCGAUGAAGGACGUGAUAAGCUGCGAUAAGCUUCGGGUAGGCGCACAUAGCCUGAGAUCCGAAGAUCUCCGAAUGAGGAAACUCACAUGGGAAACCCCAUGUAUCAUUAAGUGAAUACAUAGCUUAAUGAAGGUAACCCAGGGAACUGAAACAUCUAAGUACCUGGAGGAAGAGAAAGAAAAAUCGAUUUUCUUAGUAGCGGCGAGCGAAAGGGAAAGAGCCCAAACCGGAAACUUGUUUCCGGGGUUGAGGACAGAACAUAACGAUUGGUAGGACGUAAUCGAAGAGAACUGGAAAGUUCCACCGUAGAAGGUAAUAGUCCUGUAGAUGAAACGGGAAAUCAAUCAGUUCUGAUCCAGAGUACCACGAGACACGUGAAACCUUGUGGGAAGCAGGGAGGACCACCUCCCAAGGCUAAAUACUACCUGAUGACCGAUAGUGAAGCAGUACCGUGAGGGAAAGGUGAAAAGAACCCCGGGAGGGGAGUGAAAUAGAACCUGAAACCGUGUGCCUACAACCGCUCAGAGCCCCUUAUGAGGGUGAUGAGGUGCUUUUUGUAGAACGAGCCAACGAGUUACGGUAUGUAGCAAGGUUAAGUACUUAAGGUACGGAGCCGAAGGGAAACCGAGUCUGAAUAGGGCGACUAGUUGCAUGCCGUAGACCCGAAACCGGGUGACCUAUCCAUGGCCAGGUUGAAGCGAGGGUAAAACCUCGUGGAGGACCGAACCACGUUGCUGUUGAAAAAGCAUGGGAUGAGCUGUGGAUAGCGGAGAAAUUCCAAUCGAACCCGGAGAUAGCUGGUUCUCUCCGAAAUAGCUUUAGGGCUAGCGUCGAGUAUGAGUAGUGGAGGUAGAGCACUGAAUGGGCUAGGGGGCAUAGCGCUUACCGAACCUUAUCAAACUCCGAAUGCCACAUACUUCGAGCUCGGCAGUCAGACUACGAAUGAUAAGAUCCGUGGUCAAAAGGGAAACAGCCCAGAUCGUCAGCUAAGGUCCCAAAGUGUAAGUUAAGUGGGAAAGGAUGUGAGAUUUCUAAGACAACUAGGAUGUUGGCUUAGAAGCAGCCAUUCAUUAAAAGAGUGCGUAAUAGCUCACUAGUCGAGAGAUCUUGCGCCGAAAAUGUAACGGGGCUAAACUUACCACCGAAGCUACGGGCUUGAACUUAGUUCAAGCGGUAGGAGAGCGUCGUAACCGGGCUGAAGUCGUACCGUAAGGAGCGGUGGACUGGUUACGAGUGAGAAUGUUGGCAUCAGUAGCGAGAUGUGGGUGAGAAUCCCACAGGCCGAAAACCUAAGGUUUCCUCAGGAAGGUUCGUCCGCUGAGGGUUAGUCGGGACCUAAGCCGAGGCCGAAAGGCGUAGGUGAUGGACAACUGGUUGAUAUUCCAGUACCACUACCAUCGUUAUUAUCGAUGGCGUGACGCAGGAGGAUAGUGUGUGCUAGCUAUUGGAUGCUAGUCUAAGCGUUUAGGCAGUGAGAGUAGGCAAAUCCGCUCUCAUAAUGCUGAGGCGUGAUGGGGAAGGUUCUACGGAACCGAAGUACAUGAUUCCACGCUGCCAAGAAAAGCGUCUAGAGAGAGAAGUAGUGCCCGUACCGCAAACCGACACAGGUAGGUGAGGAGAGAAUCCUAAGGCCGGCGGAAGAAUUACAGUUAAGGAACUCGGCAAAUUGACCCCGUAAGUUCGCGAGAAGGGGUGCCUACGAGAGUAGGCCGCAGAGAAUAGGCCCAAGCAACUGUUUAGCAAAAACACAGGUCUCUGCUAAAGCGUAAGCUGAUGUAUAGGGGCUGACGCCUGCCCGGUGCUGGAAGGUUAAGGGGAACACUUAGUGCAAGCGAAGGUGUGAACUUAAGCCCCAGUAAACGGCGGCCGUAACUAUAACGGUCCUAAGGUAGCGAAAUUCCUUGUCAGGUAAGUUCUGACCCGCACGAAUGGCGUAAUGACUUGGGCACUGUCUCAACUGUAAAUCCGGCGAAGUUGUAGUGCGAGUGAAGAUGCUCGCUACCCGCGAUUGGACGGAAAGACCCCGUAGAGCUUUACUGUAGCUUAGCAUUGAGUUUUGGUAUUGUCUGUACAGGAUAGGUGGGAGACUAGGAAACCAGGGCGUCAGCCUUGGUGGAGUCAACCUUGGGAUACCACCCUGACAGUACUGAAAUUCUAACUGGCGGCCAUGAAUCUGGUCACAGGACAUUGUUAGGUGGGCAGUUUGACUGGGGCGGUCGCCUCCUAAAAAGUAACGGAGGCGCCCAAAGGUUCCCUCAGAACGGUCGGAAAUCGUUCGAAGAGUGCAAAGGCAGAAGGGAGCCUGACUGCGACACCCACAAGUGGAGCAGGGACGAAAGUCGGGCUUAGUGAUCCGGUGGUACCUCGUGGGAGGGCCAUCGCUCAACGGAUAAAAGCUACCUCGGGGAUAACAGGCUGAUCUCCCCCAAGAGUCCACAUCGACGGGGAGGUUUGGCACCUCGAUGUCGGCUCGUCGCAUCCUGGGGCUGAAGUAGGUCCCAAGGGUUGGGCUGUUCGCCCAUUAAAGCGGCACGCGAGCUGGGUUCAGAACGUCGUGAGACAGUUCGGUCCCUAUCCGUCGCGGGCGUAGGAAAUUUGAGAGGAGCUGUCCUUAGUACGAGAGGACCGGGAUGGACUGACCUCUGGUGUACCAGUUGUUCCGCCAGGAGCACAGCUGGGUAGCUAAGUCGGGAAUGGAUAAACGCUGAAAGCAUCUAAGCGUGAAGCCAACCUCAAGAUGAGAUUUCCCAUAGCGUAAGCUAGUAAGAUCCCUUGAAGAACACAAGGUUGAUAGGUCGGGGGUGUAAGCAUGGUAACAUGUUCAGCUGACCGAUACUAAUAGAUCGAGGGCUUGACCAA